AUUGAACGCUGGCGGCAGGCCUAACACAUGCAAGUCGAGCGGAUGCAGGGAGCUUGCUCCUGGAUUCAGCGGCGGACGGGUGAGUAAUGCCUAGGAAUCUGCCUGGUAGUGGGGGAUAACGUCCGGAAACGGGCGCUAAUACCGCAUACGUCCUGAGGGAGAAAGUGGGGGAUCUUCGGACCUCACGCUAUCAGAUGAGCCUAGGUCGGAUUAGCUAGUUGGUGGGGUAAAGGCCUACCAAGGCGACGAUCCGUAACUGGUCUGAGAGGAUGAUCAGUCACACUGGAACUGAGACACGGCCCAGACUCCUACGGGAGGCAGCAGUGGGGAAUAUUGGACAAUGGGCGAAAGCCUGAUCCAGCCAUGCCGCGUGUGUGAAGAAGGUCUUCGGAUUGUAAAGCACUUUUAGUUGGGAGGAAGGGCAGUGAGUUAAUACCUUGCUGUUUUGACGGUACCGACAGAAUAAGCACCGGCUAACUUCGUG
rnacentral:rRNA from 1 species